CCCAGGAAACAUCGUUACCAGACAGUGUUAGAACACAGUUGUACAAUCCAGCACUGUCAGGUAAGAUGGAUCCUGAA
rnacentral:pre_miRNA from 1 species